GACGAACCGUGCGAACGUUGUUCGGAAUCACUGGGCUUAAAGGGCGCGUAGGCGGGUCCGCAAGUCAGGGGUGAAAUCUUUCAGCUUAACUGGAAAACAGCCCCUGAUACUGCGAGUCUCGAGGGAGGUAGGGGCAUGUGGAACUUCCGGUGGAGCGGUGAAAUGCGUAGAUAUCGGAAGGAACGCCGGUGGCGAAAGCGACGUGCUGGACCUCUUCUGACGCUGAGGCGCGAAAGCCAGGGGAGCAAACGGG
rnacentral:rRNA from 1 species